rnacentral:lncRNA from 1 species
AACAGAUUUUUUUUUUUUAUGGGAGCUUCAUUUUGGGAGCCAUUUGGACAAAAGAGACUUGCAAGGAGCUUAGGAGACUAAAUGAGAGGUAGAGAGAAAAGGAUUUUAGAAGAAAAAGUAAGAAUUUUGGAGAGGUAAAUCACCAGUUUGGAGAAGAGGGGUUGAAUCUAGGGCAAGCUCGAACUGCCCAAACGAGAAAGAAAGAGGAG